rnacentral:rRNA from 1 species
CUACGGGGGGCUGCAGUGGGGAAUAUUGCACAAUGGGCGCAAGCCUGAUGCAGCCAUGCCGCGUGUAUGAAGAAGGCCUUCGGGUUGUAAAGUACUUUCAGCGGGGAGGAAGGGAGUAAAGUUAAUACCUUUGCUCAUUGACGUUACCCGCAGAAGAAGCACCGGCUAACUCCGUGCCAGCAGCCGCGGUAAUACGGAGGGUGCAAGCGUUAAUCGGAAUUACUGGGCGUAAAGCGCACGCAGGCGGUUUGUUAAGUCAGAUGUGAAAUCCCCGGGCUCAACCUGGGAACUGCAUCUGAUACUGGCAAGCUCGGGUCUCGUAGAGGGGGGUGGAAUUCCAGGUGUAGCGGUGAAAUGCGUAGAGAUCUGGAGGAAUACCGGUGGCGAAGGCGGCCCCCUGGACGAAGACUGACGCUCAGGUGCGAAAGCGUGGGGAGCAAACAGGAUUAGAUACCCGCGUAGUC